UGUUUUAAUGCUUUUCUUCUUCUUCUAUUAGGUGUUGGCAAGGUAUUGAGAUCUGCUACGUUGCAGUUUUCAUCCAUUCUGAUAAUAAUAAACAAAACAGAAAAAGAGCAUGGCCCAUUUUAAAGAUAGAACUUGAGUCUUUUAAAGAGUUACACUGGCAUAAAAAGCCAAAAUGCCAUUAGGUCCAGUUUGAACUUUUUGUUGUUCAAUAGUUCAUCAACAUGUUAAAUAAAGGGACGCUCUUGUUAGAUGGAUUGAAAAGUUCCUUUUGUGUCACUGCUACAUGGUUAGCACUACAGCUAUUACAAUACAACAUUUAUAUUAUUGUUAUUAUCAAUGCAAGUUGAUAAUCAUGUUAUUGUGAAGCUCCUCACACAUACACAUACAUUUGUCGCUGUGCAGUUAAAUUCUUGAUUUAAUUUCUUGAACAGAUAAUUCCAAUUUAUAGCACUUGUUUUCCAGACCAGAUGCUAAAACCGUUGACUACUUUCUUUGGGGCAUAUUGUGGGUUGUCUUAUUCUUCAAUAAACAUCUGGUAGAUUUACAUACUCUGCAGGUCAAGCUAUUAAUUUGAACAUAUUCUUUUCUUUUAACUUCCUACUAACUAAAAUACAUGCUGAUGAAAUUAUAAUGUGGUUGUGACAUUACGGUAGCAAGGACAAUCGAAAGUUCAUGUGGAUAUCCCUAAUUUCCUACUAGGUCUUGUUUAUGCCUUUGGACUAUCUUCUAGUAUAACUGUUUAGUUAACCGUGCCGAAAAGACUAUUCUGGUGACUACAUUUCAUUUGGAUCAGUAUGAGUCACAGGACUAUUAACAUAUAUGCAAAGAAUCAUAUCAAAGAUUCUCUACUGCUUCCUCUUUUUGCCUUGAGGAUCUUGAAAAUUUGUGUUGAAAAUUCUUAUAAGCCUAACAUCUGUAUUCCAAUUUAGGGUUGAGAGUUGAAGGAAGGAUGAAGUUAAAUGGUAGGUUAAUAUGUGAAUGAUCAGUUACACUCCCUAGAAUAUUUGUGUUUGGGAUGACUGGAUGAGUAAUCAUUGACAACUCUAGCGGGUUUUUGUACUCUGCAAAUACUUAAAAAGUG
rnacentral:lncRNA from 1 species